rnacentral:rRNA from 1 species
UACGUAGGGGGCAAGCGUUGUCCGGAUUUACUGGGCGUAAAGCGUGCGCAGGCGGUUUUGUAAGCCAGAUGUGAAAUCCCCGGGCUUAACCUGGGAAUGGCAUUUGGGACUGCAAGGCUGGAGUGUGGCAGAGGAGACUGGAAUUCCCGGUGUAGCAGUGAAAUGCGUAGAUAUCGGGAGGAAUACCGAUGGCGAAGGCAGGUCUCUGGGCUGACACUGACGCUCAUGCACGAAAGCGUGGGGAGCAAACAGG